ACCCGCUGAACUUAAGCAUAUCAAUAAGCGGAGGAAAAGAAACCAACAGGGAUUGCCCUAGUAACGGCGAGUGAAGCGGCAACAGCUCAAAUUUGAAAUCUGGCUCUUUUAGAGUCCGAGUUGUAAUUUGCAGAGGGCGCUUUGGCUUUGGCAGCGGUCCAAGUUCCUUGGAACAGGACGUCACAGAGGGUGAGAAUCCCGUACGUGGUCGCUGGCUAUUGCCGUGUAAAGCCCCUUCGACGAGUCGAGUUGUUUGGGAAUGCAGCUCUAAAUGGGAGGUACAUUUCUUCUAAAGCUAAAUAUUGGCCAGAGACCGAUAGCGCACAAGUAGAGUGAUCGAAAGAUGAAAAGCACUUUGGAAAGAGAGUCAAACAGCACGUGAAAUUGUUGAAAGGGAAGCGCUUGCAGCCAGACUUGCUUACAGUUGCUCAUCCGGGCUUUUGCCCGGUGCACUCUUCUGUAGGCAGGCCAGUAUCAGUUUGGGCGGUAGGAUAAAGGUCUCUGUCACGUACCUCUCUUCGGGGAGGCCUUAUAGGGGAGACGACAUACUACCAGCCUGGACUGAGGUCCGCGCAUCUGCUAGGAUGCUGGCGUAAUGGCUGU
rnacentral:rRNA from 1 species